rnacentral:lncRNA from 1 species
UCUUUCUUCCUUCCUUCCUUCCUUCCUUUUUUCUUUCUCUUCCUUCCUUCCUUUCUUCUUUCUCUUUCUUUCUUUCUUUCUUUCUUUCUUUCUUUCUUUCUUUCUUUCUUUCUUUCUUUCUUUCUUUCUUUCUUUCUUUCUUUCUUUCUUUCUUUCUUUCUUUCUUUCUUUCUUUCUUUCUUUCUUUCUCUCUCUUCCCUCUCUUAGAUGGUAGUGGGGAGGAGGAAUAGGUCAUUGUUUUUAUUAUUGAUAUAAUAUUCUCACAUUAUAGAUAAGGAAACCCAGUCACAGAGAAAUUAAUUGGCUUGCCAAAUAUCACUGAGCUAGCCAGAGACAGAGCUGAGUGCUCAGCCCUUUGUUUGGAGAAUAUUAGCUUAGUACCACUGUUGUGGAGGAUGAGAGAGAAAGUGAAAGAAAGCAGUAAAAAGACCAGUUAGGAGGGAACUGUAAUAGUCCAAGGCAGAGGCAAGUAGGACCUUAAAUAAGGUCACUCUAAUAGGAAUGCAGAGAAAGUGGCAGAUCAGAACAAAGUUAUGGAUGUAGGAUGGCAACUGGAUAUGUCCAAAGCAUAAAUGACAGAGAAUUGAAGAUGAGGCUGAGAUCUUUGUCAUGUGUGGUGCAUAUCUUUAUAGCAGGUCUGGAAAUGAACUGC